AGAGUUUGAUCAUGGCUCAGAUUGAACGCUGGCGGCAUGCCUUACACAUGCAAGUCGAACGGCAGCACGGGGGCAACCCUGGUGGCGAGUGGCGAACGGGUGAGUAAUACAUCGGAACGUGUCCUGUAGUGGGGGAUAGCCCGGCGAAAGCCGGAUUAAUACCGCAUACGCUCUACGGAGGAAAGGGGGGGAUCUUAGGACCUCCCGCUACAGGGGCGGCCGAUGGCAGAUUAGCUAGUUGGUGGGGUAAAGGCCUACCAAGGCGACGAUCUGUAGCUGGUCUGAGAGGACGACCAGCCACACUGGGACUGAGACACGGCCCAGACUCCUACGGGAGGCAGCAGUGGGGAAUUUUGGACAAUGGGGGCAACCCUGAUCCAGCAAUGGCCGCGUGUGUGAAGAAGGCCUUCGGGUUGUAAAGCACUUUUGUCCGGAAAGAAAACGCCGUGGUUAAUACCCGUGGCGGAUGACGGUACCGGAAGAAUAAGCACCGGCUAACUACGUGCCAGCAGCCGCGGUAAUACGUAGGGUGCAAGCGUUAAUCGGAAUUACUGGGCGUAAAACGUGCGCAGGCGGUCCGCUAAGACAGAUGUGAAAUCCCCGGGCUUAACCUGGGAACUGCAUUUGUGACUGGCGGGCUAGAGUAUGGCAGAGGGGGGUAGAAUUCCACGUGUAGCAGUGAAAUGCGUAGAGAUGUGGAGGAAUACCGAUGGCGAAGGCAGCCCCCUGGGCCAAUACUGACGCUCAUGCACGAAAGC
rnacentral:rRNA from 1 species